GCCAAACUAGUAAAAAUUUACAUAUACAUUUAUUUCACACGGUGUGUCGCUGUCGUUAAUUAUGUUAUCCAGAGAGAGAGUAAACGGUUACUUGCUAUUCGAAAUCUUGUAUAAGGUAGCGUUUGUUUGUAGGCGUGACACCGCAAUGCGAGCUGCUAGUUCAGUGACCCAGAUCAAGAAAUGGCGCAUGCUUAUUUAACAAUCUAAACCAAAAAUCAUAAAUACCGAACUUGUUAUCCGUUGCUUCAAUGAUAUAAUUAUCUUUUAUCCUAUUGAGGUCCAAAAGCAGGUGUGAUAUAACAGAGGGCUAAGGGAAUGUGAAGUCCAGACCUCUCAGUUGUUAGGCGAAUCCAGUAGCUUUUAUCACUUACAAACAACUAUAAAGUUUCAAAAUAAACUUAGGGGGAUCCCUGCUUGGGGUUGGGCAGAUUUAUAACCAGGCUAAUGCCAGCAUGAUAGUUUGCUCUCCUAUCAGCACAUAUGCGAGAAAAGUUGUCUACCUGAGUGGGUGUGCUCAACAUAUGGGAAGCACUAUUUUCAAUAUGGUCUCCAAUGGACAAUCGACUUCAUGUUGUUUCUGUUCAUGCCGUGCACAUUUGAGCAAAAGUUAUGCUCGAUUGUCUAUCUCAAAGACAUUCUCUAGUCCAUCUGUUGGUACCUUUCAAACAUCGAACAAAAACUUUUCUGGAUCUGGUUCUGCCAAGCAAAGUGGCAGUUGGCAAUCAAUUACUGUCAAAGGUUUAUUUAACACUAGAGGUCCUUUGAAGAAGCACUUCAAUCUUUCACUGGCAUAUCAGAAUCUGAACAUGAGGUUUUCGCUGUCAAAACGAGGAAUGCUCUCCAAAAUAAAGGAUAAUGUGGGAUCUAUAUCUUGGGCGCAAGAAUGUGCCUCAACUGGCUUAAUUUGUGGUCUCUUAGUUUGUUAUUCAAGUUCUGAGCCAACACGUGCUGAAGCAGCUGCGAGGGAGAAGGAUGAGGAGGAUAAUUCUGAUCUAUCAUAUGUUAAAUUCUCACAUGGGAAAAGGGUGUACACUGACUAUUCCAUUACUGGAAUACCUGGAGAUGGGAGGUGUUUGUUCCGCUCUGUUGCUCAUGGCGCCAGUUUACGGACUGGAAAGCCAGCUCCGAGUGAAAGUCUUCAGAGAGAAUUGGCAGAUGACUUGCGGGCUAGAGUAUCUUUCUCAUGCUUUUCUCAUAUUGAGUCUGAAAUUUGGUUUAUAUCUUGGGUCUGGUGGUUUACAUUAUGGUUUACAUCAGAAUGGCCUCUGAUUUCUGUUGGUUUUGUUAAAUUUGUCAGGUUGCUGAUGAGUUUAUCAGGAGGAGGCAAGAGACAGAAUGGUUUAUCGAAGGUGAUUUUGACACAUACGUAGCGCAGAUGAGGAAGCCACAUGUAUGGGGGGGUGAGCCUGAGCUAUUCAUGGCUUCUCAUGUUCUAAAGAUGCCAAUCACUGUGUACAUGUAUGACCAGAAUGCUAGGGGCCUUAUAUCUAUUGCUGAAUACGGUGAGGAAUAUGGAAAGGACAAUCCAAUCAGAGUUCUCUAUCAUGGUUUUGGCCAUUAUGAUGCUCUACAGAUUCCUGGAAGGAAAGGUGGCAAACCAAAACUAUAAUCAUUAUUCUUGUUUAAAUGCCAGAAGAGUAAUUGUAUCAACAAUUCAUAAACAUUAUAAAUUAAAUAUUUUAUUUA